GAACAUGAGAGUUUGAUCCUGGCUCAGAACGAACGCUGGCGGCAUGCCUAACACAUGCAAGUCGAACGCAAGGCUUCGGCCUUGAGUGGCGCACGGGUGAGUAGCGCGUGGGAACCUGCCCUGGAGUGGGGGAUAACCGAGGGAAACUUCGGCUAAUACCGCAUGCGCCCGGAGCAAUCCGGGGAAAGAUUUAUCGCUCUAGGAGGGGCCCGCGUCGGAUUAGCUAGUUGGUGGGGUAACGGCCUACCAAGGCGAUGAUCCGUAGCUGGUCUGAGAGGAUGAUCAGCCACACUGGGACUGAGACACGGCCCAGACUCCUACGGGAGG
rnacentral:rRNA from 1 species